rnacentral:sRNA from 1 species
GGCAGUAAAGUAUAUGAGCGGAUGCGGUGACACCCUUGUGAAAGGGGGUGAAGCCAUUGACGACUUAUCAGGUACUGACAUUAAUGAUUAGUUUCGCUAUGUUGGUGCUCAUGAUUGUGUCGUUUAAAAACAAAAAAUAAUCCGUCUCAUAUGCUCUGCAGAAGCUGAGAUGGAUUAUUCCUUCAAGCACUGCAUCCGCUCUUAUCGCGGAUAUUGCCCUCACCGUCAGUGUUCCCGCACUGGCG